CGGGGACCCCCUCACAGGGCAGGCGCCUUCGUCGGCAGCUCUGAUGAAUCAGGCUGUGGUCGUGCCACCCCGCCUCGUCCCGAUUGGAGGCUGCGGGACGACGCGCCAGACGUGGACCGUAAAGAGGGCUCCACUCGCCACCUGCCCCCCGUGGACGCGCUGGAAACGAGACCUGACUGAUUUAAGAUGGAUCGGGAGCAGACUCAAGCUCAUCUAAGCAAGCCUGGAAAGGGAGCCCCGCUGUGUGCAAGGAGCACUUUAUCCUAGCUGUUCUUUUCCUGUUCAGCAAACUUCAUGUUGCCUCAGGACAAACACCGCCUUUGCCCAGGCUGUGAUGAAGGGUCUGCCCUGCUUUUGACACAGGCCCAGGUGCUAUUGUGGCAGGAGUGCCCGGGGCCAGCAUCCUUCUGACGGCUGAUCAAAAAAACAAACCCAGCGUUCACCUGAAGAGGCUGCCAACCUUCUGGGAAGACCAGCCAAACCUCCCUCCAACUCACCCUCGCCUUCAAGCUCUACUUGCCAAGCUCUCCUCUUUCAACAUUCAGCGCAAAUGUUUCCCAUCUCGGCACAUUUCUGUGCUGUGUUCAAGCAAAAUGGGCUUCAGUGAGGUGCCUGUUUCUAGGCUACAAGGUAACCUAAAGUCAGAAAUCGUGGGGUAAAAUUACAGUUAAACAGGAUAUGGGUUUGGCUGGCUGGCCACCACACACCUGGAGUCCUAGCAGUUCAGGUGCAGAGGCCGGAAGAUCAUUUGUGUCCUGAAGUCGGGACUGGCCCGGGCAACACUGGCCACAACAAAACAUACAAGAUUAUUUUCAAAUAAUAUGUUCAAAUUUCAAUUAGAAAUGGAUGUAAUUGUUGAUCUUUUCAAAACACGUUAAAAAAACAGCCCAUUCUUCUGGA